UGGCUCCGGCAACACGUGGCUU
rnacentral:miRNA from 1 species